AACGAACGCUGGCGGCAUGCCUAACACAUGCAAGUCGAACGAGACCUUCGGGUCUAGUGGCGCACGGGUGCGUAACGCGUGGGAACCUGCCCUUAGGUUCGGAAUAACUCUCCGAAAGGGGUGCUAAUACCGGAUAAUGUCUUCGGACCAAAGAUUUAUCGCCUUUGGAUGGGCCCGCGUUGGAUUAGCUAGUUGGUAGGGUAAAAGCCUACCAAGGCGACGAUCCAUAGCUGGUCUGAGAGGAUGAUCAGCCACACUGGGACUGAGACACGGCCCAGACUCCUACGGGAGGGAGCAGUGGGGAAUAUUGGACAAUGGGCGAAAGCCUGAUCCAGCAAUGCCGCGUGAGUGAUGAAGGCCUUAGGGUUGUAAAGCUCUUUUACCCGGGAUGAUAAUGACAGUACCGGGAGAAUAAGCUCCGGCUAACUCCGUG
rnacentral:rRNA from 1 species